GGGGUUGUGGUUCAGUGGUAGAAUGCUUGCCUAGCACGUGGGGGGCCCUGGGUUUGAUCCUCAGCACCACA
rnacentral:tRNA from 1 species